AAGGCUAUAUUUGAUUAUACUAUAAUCAUAAAAUUCUUAAUUUAUUCUACAAAAUCUACAUCGUCUACACAAAAUAAUAUCCCUUGGCUGCAAUACACUGUGCCAGCGUUAUUUCCAAUCCUCGAAACAGUUGUUGAAGUCAAUUUCCGGAAUAGCCUUCAAUUCGCGUAGCGAUUCACGUUUAAUAACUUCAAUUGUCUCAAAAAGGGGUCCCACUGGCGGUCGUUUGAGUUUGCUGAAUAGCCAGAUGUUACGCGGAGCUAAAUCAAGCGAACAGUGUGGCUGCUGCACAAUAUUGGUUGAGAUUUUGGCGAAAAACUCACGACGAAUCAAUGCAGUAUGCGACGGUGAAUUAUCAUGGUGCAAAAACUAAGAGUUUUGGGCCCAUAACUCCGGCCUCUUUUUACGAAAAGCUUCACGCAAACGACACAUAACACUCAAAUAGUAUUCCUUGUUGACAGUUUGGCCGGUCGGAAGGAAUUCGGAGUACACCAGACAUCGAUAAUCGAAGAAAACUGUCAACAUAGCCUUGAUUUUUGACCUGUUUUGAGGUAGUUUUUCUGCUUCGCCUCAUCUUUACCAUGAUAUUCGCCCGUUGAUUUUCUGUCUCCGUGUGGUAAGCAUAGAUCCAAGACUCCUCGCCAGUAAUAAUAUAUUUCAUGACAAUCUGGUAGUUGGAAAUCAUAGUUUAUAGACGGUAAUGCGACGCUGUUUUUCGAAAAAAUUUGGUGAUUUUUGAAACCCAAAAUGGUUUUCUCUGAUCCUUCCGAUAUUCCAACGAUAUAUUUGAUGUUGAUGGCCGUCCCGGACUUGGUUCGUCGUGAUCGUGUUCUCAACACUCUUUGAAUAAAUUGUACUAAUUAAAAACACUUGCUGGACGUUUCGGCACCAGAAAUGCGAUUCCGCAUAUAAAAUUAAAUGGAACGUCUUUGUUGAAUAAUUUCACUUUUAAGCACUGAUGAUUAUUUAGAUGUGAUA